GUCCCUGUAGCGCAAUGGAUAGUGCGUUGGACUUCUAAUCCAAAAGGUCGUGGGUUCGAAUUAGUGGUGUAGCGUAGGCUUUCACCACCUGGGGCC